rnacentral:rRNA from 1 species
GACGAACGCUGGCGGCGUGCUUAACACAUGCAAGUCGAACGGAAAGGCCCUGCUUUUGUGGGGUGCUCGAGUGGCGAACGGGUGAGUAACACGUGAGUAACCUGCCCUUGACUUUGGGAUAACUUCAGGAAACUGGGGCUAAUACCGGAUAGGAGCUCCUGCUGCAUGGUGGGGGUUGGAAAGUUUCGGCGGUUGGGGCUGGACUCGCGGCUUAUCAGCUUGUUGGUGGGGUAGUGGCUUACCAAGGCUUUGACGGGUAGCCGGCCUGAGAGGGUGACCGGCCACAUUGGGACUGAGAUACGGCCCAGACUCCUACGGGAGGCAGCAGUGGGGAAUAUUGCACAAUGGGCGGAAGCCUGAUGCAGCAACGCCGCGUGCGGGAUGACGGCCUUCGGGUUGUAAACCGAUUUCGCCUGUGACGAAGCGUGAGUGACGGUAAUGGGUAAAGAAGCACCGGCUAACUACGUG